rnacentral:lncRNA from 1 species
CGCUGUAUUUUCGUGGUUCAGAAAAUCUUACCCAGAAAUAUGAAGGCUCGUAUCCAUGAUCGUAUCAUCUACUCGCCAUACCCCAACGUGGGUAUUCCCGAGUGCUCUUUCUAUGCU